rnacentral:lncRNA from 1 species
CUCCUGCAACAGCAUAACUGAGCCUUUGUUAUAGGCACUGUGUGCAGUACUGCUGUAGACUGGCUUUUUUCACAUGUGAUGGUUGAUUUUCAUAAGAUAGUUUUCAUAACUAGAAUCACAAAGCACUUCAUAGAGUUAAUAAGAAGGCUAAUAAGACUCACAAAUAAAUUAUAUUAGCCAUGAUGAAUGGACAAAACAAUAGCUUAAAAUUAUCUAGGGAAAGAAGAGAUAUAUGAUCAAGCUAGCUGAAGAAUUAGGGAAAGAAUUCAGGGUGACUAGCUAACUAGCUGUAAUAGAGUAGCUGUGUGAAGUUAUGGAAUUAGAACUGGAUUCUAGUACUUGUCUUUUCACUUGCCAAAUACGUCAUUUAACCUCUCUGUGCUCUCAUUUGUAUUAUCUAUAACAGAAAGGUCAGACUUAAUAGUCUUUGAGGCCUUCUUUAAAUUCUAAAAUGUAGGUUAUAGGAGUUUAAAAUAUCAAGAAAUCAACUCCUAUUGAGUAACUGCUAUAUGUACCAGGAACAAUUCCAAGUGAUAGUGUCUAAGAACAAGGUAAGAUCCAUUUUUCAUUGAGCUGAAAUUCUAGUGGGAAGGGAGGACAAACAGAGAGAUAGCUAUAAAUAGAUAAAAUAAUUGUAGUUAGUAACACGUGCUGCAAAGGAAAUAAGACAGGAUAGUAUUCUAGAGAAGGACUGGGUGGUCUUGGGGAUGACAUGACAUAGGUAGGCAGAGAACUCUGAGACCUGAAGAAGAGCAGGGUCCAGAUUUGGGAAAGAUGGGAGUCAGGCACUCCUAAUGAAGAUUUCAAGUGCCAAAGAACUGGGCAGGGGACAAAUUGGACUUCCUUGAGGAACACGAGAAGCCAGUGGUGCUGAAAUACAGAAAUGAGGGGGAAGAACAACAAGAAAAGAGAUUCUUGUGAAUGAAGCAGAAUCAUUGAUUGAGCAACUGGAAAUGAAUGCAAAAGUAGAAGAUGCACAUUGUGAAUCUCCUAAGAAGCAAAUAUGAAUCCAUUCCUUCCUCCUCUCCAAGAAAUUUCUCAGGGCAACGGAGUCUACUGAUGCAUGAGCACUCAAAAGACACCAUAAGGCGUUUGCUGCAUGACUUAAUUCUUUUUUGGACACAGAGCAGAUUUUGAUGACUUACUAUGAUCAUUUUAAAUUCAGAACACUGCAUCGCCAGCAUUUAGGAAUUGCACUAAAGGAAAGUGAGAAGUGAAAAAUGCGAAAUGAUUGUCAUGGUCACCACACAUCCAAGAUUUUCUGCGACAGUCCCAAUUUCAAAGAUUUUACCUUGUUAUUCCUUUAAUUAUACUCUUUCUUAUUAGACCAACUAGUCAGGUUUGGAAAAACUGUUUUUAAAGGGCCACUGUUAUUCUUAGGUAUAUGUUAAUUAAUAUUUUACAAAACCAAAGAAAGUCUUUAGAAUAUUACGUGAAUAUUCUGUUCAUUCUUUUCUUUUUUAGAGAUGAGGUCUUGCUCUGUCACCCAGGCUGGAGUGCAGUGGUGCCAUCAUAGCUCACUAUAGCCUCAAACUACUGGGCUCAAGCUACCCUCCGACCUUGGCCUCCCAAAGUGCUGGGAUUAUAGGAGUGAGACACCAUGCCUGGCCCACAUGAAUGUUUUCUUAAUUAUCCUAGGAAAAGUAAAUUCCUUUAUUACAAAUUAUGGGAAAAUACCUGAACAGUGUAGUUCUUGGAAUGAUAUUGAUGAUUGCUUUAGUAAUUUUCACAUUAUUGUAAUGGUACUUGUUAGCUGGAAUUUUGUAAUUGUCAAUUACAUGAUCACAACAUGCAGACACACCAAAAUAUUUUUGUUUCUUCUCCUUCUUUUUUUUUUUUUUGAGACAGAGUCUAGCUCUUUUGGCUAGGCUGGAGUGCAGUGGUGUGAUCUCGGCUCACUACAAUCUCCACCUCCUGGGUUCAAGCAAUUCUCCUGUCUCAGCCUCCUCUGCGCCUGGCCACCCUUAAACAUUUUUGUGACAAUUUUCAUGUGUAAUUCUUACAUUGCUGAAAAUUGAUUUGGGUUAAAAGUGAACCUUCAGGCCCGGUGCGGUGGCUCACACCUGUAAUUCCAACACUUUGGGAGGUCGAGGUGGGUGGAUCACUUGAGGUCAGGAGUUUGAGACCAGCCUGGCCAACAUGGGGAAACCCCAUCUCUACUAAAAACACAAAAAUUAGCCAGGCAUGGUGGCUCACACCUGUAAUCCCAGCUACUUGGGAGGCUGAGGCAGGAGAAUCGCUUGAACCUGGGAGGUGACCGUUGCAGUGAGCCAAGAUAGAGCCACUAUCCUCCAGCCUGGGUGACAGAGUAGGACUUCAUCUCAAAAAAACAAACAAACAAACAAACAAAAAAACCUUUAGAUGGCCUCUCUAGAAGUGGAAGUCAUGGAAAAAUUUGAAAAAUUUCAUUAAUUCCAAAAUGCUUUUAAAUUAAUUUUGAAAAGCAGCAGUUUAACACAUGGAAAUGCUACUUCUUCCUGUAUAUUAAACUUGCUAAAGAAUUUAGAGCUUGUUAGGCAUAUUCUGCAUUGAGAAGCAAUAGUUUAUUAUGUUUUGCCUGUCAAUGCGAAUGUUUUUGUUUAUAUCAUUCUGAGGAUCAUUCGUUUUUCACUUACUGUUCAAUACUAAUUAAUAUUUAUUUGUCAUUAAGCACUUUACAUCAUCAUUUGUCUAGUACUUGGCAAUUUAACUCACUUUCCCAUUUGUUCUGUGCAAAAUGAUUUGCACAAAACUUCUCAAUUCCAUUCUUCCUUUCCCUGCCCUAAGGGCUAAGGGCUUAUUACUAUGCAGUAAGUUGAAGAGGUCAACGGUGUCAGCCAAUGGAUUUCCCCCUACCAAAACCUUUCCUGCCCUUCCAAGGUAGGGGCGAGAUUCAGACAUUUGGGGUGGAUUAUCUGAAGUUUUGUCCUCAUUUAGCUAGAUCAAAAUAUGGUAGAAAGACCAGGGGCUUCAUAAUCACACAAACAAAGUUUUGAAUUCUCAUCCUGUUGUAUAUGGACCUUAUUCCAAACCACUCUAAGACUUAGUUUCAACAUCUUUAAUAAGGGGACAAUACUAACUAAGCUCAUGCAAUUUUUUGAAGAUUAAUAUAUCUAAAGCACCCAGAUUUAGUACCUUACGCAUAUUAGGCUCUGAAUAAAGUUAGCUAAUUUGGGUGAAUAAUAAAUAAGUGUAGGAAGAACAACACAAAAGAGAAUUUAGAAGUAAAUUAACAAGGCAUCUUUUGUGUCUAGGUAGUAUGGUACAGUGGAAAAUGGAUGAGGACCAAUCUGCCUUCAUCAGGCUUCCCAACCAACUGAACGUUCCCCUAAUCUGUGAAAAUGAGCAUAAUCACGCUACUUCAUGGAGUGAUCAUGAUAUAGUUAGGCUCAUCAUAUGAGAUCUUACUUUCCCUUUUCUUGCUUCCCCUUUAAUACUCUUUUAAAAACCAAAAAAGAGAAUUUUAGACCAAUAUCCUUGAUGAACAUUGCUGCAAAAAUCCUCAAUAAAAUACUGG